rnacentral:rRNA from 1 species
GACGAACGCUGGCGGCGUGCUUAACACAUGCAAGUCGAACGGAAAGGCCCUGCUUUUGUGGGGUGCUCGAGUGGCGAACGGGUGAGUAACACGUGAGUAACCUGCCCUUGACUUUGGGAUAACUUCAGGAAACUGGGGCUAAUACCGGAUAGGAGCUCCUGCUGCAUGGUGGGGGUUGGAAAGUUUCGGCGGUUGGGGAUGGGCUCGCGGCUUAUCAGCUUGUUGGUGGGGUAGUGGCUUACCAAGGCUUUGACGGGUAGCCGGCCUGAGAGGGUGACCGGCCACAUUGGGACUGAGAUACGGCCCAGACUCCUACGGGAGGCAGCAGUGGGGAAUAUUGCACAAUGGGCGGAAGCCUGAUGCAGCAACGCCGCGUGCGGGAUGACGCCCUUCGGGUUGUAAACCGCUUUCGCCUGUGACGAAGCGUGAGUGACGGUAAUGGGUAAAGAAGCACCGGCUAACUACGUG